CGUUCAGGGGUAAACCUGAGAAACCCGAAAGGUCGAGAGACAAGAUUCAUUUACUUUUUAUCGUUAAUCAACCAACUGUACUUGUAUGUGACAAAUUUAUAAUACUAUGCCAUUUAAACAUGUAAUAUACUUGUAUGUUGCAUGGGUGUAUGUGUUAAUAAAUAUUUGCACUACUGUAUGUUGUUAAUUGUAUGAUAACGAGGUAUGCACUUCUUGUCUUGUAGGACGUCGCGACCCAUUAAAUAUUGAUCUAUAGGCUAUGGGUGCGUUGCCUAUUGCACUGGACUAUUCUUGUGAUAGUUUAUUUGUGUAAUAGACGCCUCUAAGUUCUUGAUCAAUUGUUUGAUGGUAAUAAAAUUUGAUAUUGGGCCGCGUUAUUAACGCAUUAAUAUCAUCACGAGUUAUAAGUAGGGUUAGAUUUUUCAAAUUUAAUCAUAUUGAAUAUAUGAACUUGUGUCAUAUACUUAAUGCUACUUAGCUGUCAGUUGAUGAAUAAUUUAAUUGGCUUAUGAGUAUGCUUGCAUAUUCAAUAUUUGUCAGCGACGCUUUAGCUUUGGGUACUUUCAGGACCCGUCUUGAAACACGGACCAAGGAGUCUAGCAUGUACGCAAGUCAUUGGGAAUAAUAUGUAUUUUUUCAUCGGAAUAUAUAUGAUAUUUUAUGAAACCCAAAGGCGUAAUGAAAGUAAAUGGUUGAUUGUUGGCUUUACGGCUGAUAGUUGUUAAAAAUCAUAAGGGAGGAUAUAUUUAUAUUAUGUAUUAAAUGUCGCACUCCCGGGGCGUCUUAUAUUUAUUCUUUUAUAUUUUUAUCAAUAUCGAAAUGAAUAAGAGUCGCACCUAGAGCGUACACGCUGGGACCCGAAAGAUGGUGAACUAUGCCUGGUCAGGACGAAGUCAGGGGAAACCCUGAUGGAGGUCCGUAGCGAUUCUGACGUGCAAAUCGAUCGUCGGAACUGGGUAUAGGGGCGAAAGACUAAUCGAACCAUC
rnacentral:rRNA from 1 species